UACAGAGGGUGCAAGCGUUGUUCGGAAUUACUGGGCGUAAAGGGCUCGUAGGCGGCCAACUAAGUCAGACGUGAAAUCCCUCGGCUUAACCGGGGAACUGCGCCCGAUACUGGCAGGCCUGAAUCCGGGAGAGGGAUGCGGAAUUCCAGGUGUAGCGGUGAAAUGCGUAGAUAUCUGGAGGAACACCGGUGGCGAAGGCGGCAUCCUGGACCGGCAUUGACGCUGAGGCGCGAAAGCCAGGGGAGCAAACGGG
rnacentral:rRNA from 1 species